UACGGGGGGAGCAAGCGUUGUUCGGAAUCACUGGGCGUAAAGGGCGUGUAGGCGGUCAAGUAAGUGGGACGUGAAAGCCCCCGGCUCACCCGGGGAUCUGCAUCCCAAACUGCUUGGCUUGAGUAUGGGAGAGGAUAGGGGAAUUCCUGGUGUAGCGGUGAAAUGCGUAGAUAUCAGGAGGAACACCGGUGGCGAAGGCGGGUCUCUGGGCCGAAACUGACGCUGAGGAGCGAAAGCGUGGGGAGCAAACAGG
rnacentral:rRNA from 1 species